rnacentral:rRNA from 43 species
UUAAAUUGAAGAGUUUGAUCAUGGCUCAGAUUGAACGCUGGCGGCAGGCCUAACACAUGCAAGUCGAACGGUAACAGGAAGC